AAGGAAUUGAAUUCCAAAAUUUGUGUGGGUCCACUGCUUUUUUGAUUCCUCCAUGUUUAGUAAACACCGGAAUACUCCGUAAUCAGAAUUUAAUUCCACAUUCUCAUUCCGAUUACGGAUACGUAAACACGCCCUUAGUUUCCAGUCUCUCCCGGUAUUGAAUCAUUUGUUAUUCGGCGUUUUGUUCUCAUCUUGCGAUCGUCGGGGCAAGAACUUUAAGGUUGGGACAAUUUUUUUAUGAAAUUGGUGACUAAUCGCAUGCUGCCUCUUCAGAUUAUUGACAAAGAAAUUAUAUUGAACUUGGGUAAGUUUUAUAACAACUACGUGUAAUUUUCGAUUCUCAGUUUGUAUUUGUUUGAAAGAAACCCUGAAAAUUGGUUUUCUUUCUGUGUUCUCAAUUGAUUCAAUGCGUAGCAUUAGAAAAAACAUGUAAUUAUUGGGGGUUUUUGUUUUUGGUGGAUUUAGAGUUUUGUUAAAGUUUGAUUAUAUUGGAGUUGAAUUUGGUUGCUCCUUGGCUGUGGGGAGAGAGGUCGGGUUCGUCAUUUGGUGAAGAAGGGUUGAGGAAAGAGACAGGGGGUGUAAGUGUGGUUGCAGAUGAGAACUAUCAAAUUUUCUAUCUUUUCAAUUUCUGCAGAGCACCCGUUUCCUUCCUGCAAAUGGGUCUUACAAACUUUCACUCGGUUCUAUCAAUUUUGUUAGAAUCAACAAUUCUGCGGAGCAUUUUUGCAUUGAAUUUCAGCGACCCAUUUGCCUAAUUAGUUUGCAAUUAUAUGGUAUUUUAAAAAAGUUCAAAAAUUAACUCACACAUUCUCCACAAGCACCUGAUUCUUCAAAAUUUUCCAAAAAUGGAGAACUGAAUCACCCAAUUUUCUUAAUUAAAGAAAAAAAAAAAUCAGUUUUCUUUUUGGUCAAAUUUGAAUACCCAAAGAAGAAGUAAGUGAAUUUUCUCAGAGGGGGGAGAGAGAGAGAGCGCAGCGGGGGACUGACCUCUAAACAGCAAAAGCAGAAACGAAUCACUUGAUUUUUAAACUGCAAUGAUCAGGGAUCUUAAAAACUUAGCAGUUUUUCUGAAUUUGUUUUCUUUAUCUUUUGGUUAAAAAACAUAUUAAAAUUAUAUCUUUGUUAAUCAAUGUUAUGAGGGUUAUCCACUGAGUGGUGUAAUGUGUUUAUAUCUUUUUUUUUCAUUACUUUUGCCUAUUCUUUUUCACUUUCUUUGUAUCACUUAAUUUUUAAGGUGUAUUGAUCAGGAAGGAAAAAAACUUUAACAUUUUUUGUUGCUGUAUUCUUUCGUUUUGAUUAAGAGAUAUAUCUCUGUUUAUCAAUGUUAUUGCCAUGGGGUAAUGGUUUUGCUGUUAUAAAUUCUUGAAACUGUAAUUCCCUCUGUCUUUGUCGUGUUAAAACUAUAUAUUGUGAUUGCAGGUUUUUAAAAACUUGACCUUUGCAGAUUGUUCAAA